UAUAUAAUAUAUAAUAUAUAA
rnacentral:piRNA from 1 species